UACGGAGGGUGCAAGCGUUGCUCGGAAUUAUUGGGCGUAAAGGGUAGGUAGGUGGUCUCAUUUGUCUGGGGUGAAAGCCUUGAGCUUAACUCAAGAAGUGCCUCAGAAACGGUGAGACUAGAGUCCUAGAGAGGGUCGUGGAAUUCCCGGUGUAGCGGUGAAAUGCGUAGAGAUCGGGAGGAACACCAGAGGCGAAGGCGGCGACCUGGACCAUAACUGACGCUGAUGCGCGAAAGCUAGGGGAGCAAACAGG
rnacentral:rRNA from 1 species